CCUACGGGAGGCAGCAGUGAGGAAUAUUGGUCAAUGGACGGAAGUCUGAACCAGCCAUGCCGCGUGCAGGAAGACGGCUCUAUGAGUUGUAAACUGCUUUUGUACAAGGGUAAACCUGAAUACGUGUAUUCAGCUGACAGUACUGUACGAAUAAGGAUCGGCUAACUCCGUGCCAGCAGCCGCGGUAAUACGGAGGAUCCAAGCGUUAUCCGGAUUUAUUGGGUUUAAAGGGUGCGUAGGCGGAUUGAUAAGUUAGAGGUGAAAUGUCCGAGCUUAACUCGGGAACUGCCUCUGAUACUGUUGAUCUAGAGUGUAGGUGAGGUAGGCGGAAUGUAUGGUGUAGCGGUGAAAUGCGUAGAGAUCAUGCAGAACACCGAUUGCGAAGGCAGCUUACUAAUCUAUAUCUGACGUUGAGGCACGAAAGCGUGGGGAGCAAACAGGAUUAGAUACCCCAGUAGUC
rnacentral:rRNA from 1 species